UCAGGCCUAACACAUGCAAGUCGAGCGCGCCUUUCGGGGUGAGCGGCGGACGGGUUAGUAACGCGUGGGAAUAUGCCCUUUGGUACGGAAUAGCCUCUGGAAACGGAGAGUAAUACCGUAUGUGCCCUUCGGGGGAAAGAUUUAUCGCCAAAGGAUUAGCCCGCGUUAGAUUAGGUAGUUGGUGGGGUAAUGGCCUACCAAGCCUACGAUCUAUAGCUGGUUUUAGAGGAUGAUCAGCAACACUGGGACUGAGACACGGCCCAGACUCCUACGGGAGGCAGCAGUGGGGAAUCUUGGACAAUGGGGGCAACCCUGAUCCAGCCAUGCCGCGUGAGUGAUGAAGGCCUUAGGGUCGUAAAGCUCUUUCGCCUGUGAAGAUAAUGACGGUAGCAGGUAAAGAAACCCCGGCUAACUCCGUGCCAGCAGCCGCGGUAAUACGGAGGGGGUUAGCGUUGUUCGGAAUUACUGGGCGUAAAGCGCACGUAGGCGGAUCGGAAAGUUGGGGGUGAAAUCCCGGGGCUCAACCCCGGAACUGCCUCCAAAACUAUCGGUCUAGAGUUCGAGAGAGGUGAGUGGAAUUCCGAGUGUAGAGGUGAAAUUCGUAGAUAUUCGGAGGAACACCAGUGGCGAAGGCGGCUCACUGGCUCGAUACUGACGCUGAGGUGCGAAAGUGUGGGGAGCAAACAGGAUUAGAUACCCU
rnacentral:rRNA from 1 species